AACGAACGCUGGCGGCAGGCCUAACACAUGCAAGUCGAGCGGACCCUUCGGGGUUAGCGGCGGACGGGUGAGUAACGCGUGGGAAUAUGCCCUUCUCUACGGAAUAGUCCUGGGAAACUGGGGGUAAUACCGUAUACGCCCUUUGGGGGAAAGAUUUAUCGGGGAAGGAUUAGCCCGCGUUGGAUUAGGUAGUUGGUGGGGUAAUGGCCUACCAAGCCGACGAUCCAUAGCUGGUUUGAGAGGAUGAUCAGCCACACUUGGACUGAGACACGGCCCAGACUCCUACGGGAGGCAGCAGUGGGGAAUCUUAGACAAUGGGGGCAACCCUGAUCUAGCCAUGCCGCGUGAGUGAUGAAGGCCUUAGGGUUGUAAAGCUCUUUCAGCUGGGAAGAUAAUGACGGUACCAGCAGAAGAAGCCCCGGCUAACUCCGUG
rnacentral:rRNA from 1 species